UUUAUUAUUCUCUCAGGAUACAUUAGAAGUACCUAAUCCUGGAGGGUCAGUACAAUGGCCUGAGGGAAGAGGUGCUCAUUCCAGUGUACUGAUUACCACUAGUUCAGGACCACACUUACUAGUGGUGGGUGGACAUCCUGCCUAUGAUGUAUGGUUACUGGACAUUAACAAAAGAAAAUGGAAAGAACUGAUUAAUCUACCAGACAAUGUCACUAACAGAUACUGGCAUUCUCUCUCAGUGUGGAGUGUGACCCCAACUACUAACUGGAUAAUUGAGUUUGGAGGAGGCUUUGAAAGCCACAGUAAUGAUACAGCAGUUAUUGAACUCAGAUAUACUAGUGAUAAUGAUUGGUCUACUAGUGUAAUACGUCUGGACCAGUAUCAAGAUCAACUAAGAAGAAGGAUACUGAGUGAUUGGGAGAAUUUAGGAUUA